rnacentral:rRNA from 1 species
AUGCUACCGACAAAUAUGCUCAAUGCUGCAACCGGUGCUAUGCGGAGUCUGCAUGACAGUGUUCUUUCUUUGGAGAAGCGGCGUCUCAGGGAGAAGGAUGUGGCAUACCCAGUUUUCGCGGCCAAGGUGCCAGAGGGCAAGGGCUUUGUGGAUAACUCCAUCGGGCAUACGAUCGUCCUGCGUUUUGAUGACAUCCAUGCUAUGUUGAACCUUCAUCCGCUGCACUACACCUUCGUUCUGCUAUUUUCGCUGAGUAUGGAGAUGCGGAUCAUUCGCGACAAGACCCCGGACAUCGUGAUAGUCGACCCCUUCUACAUGCGUGCCAAGAUCUUGGGCAGCGCUGGGGACCGGCAAGUCGCGAGUUCUUACCUCGAAGGCGUCAUUCUAGCAAACCAAGAUAAGGAUAACUUCCUCGUGCCUUACUUUCCCGAGUAA